rnacentral:rRNA from 1 species
GACGUAGGGCGCGAGCGUUGUCCGGAUUUAUUGGGCGUAAAGAGCUCGUAGGCGGUUUGUCGCGUCUGCUGUGAAAACUCGAGGCUCAACCUCGGGCUUGCAGUGGGUACGGGCAGACUAGAGUGCGGUAGGGGAGACUGGAAUUCCUGGUGUAGCGGUGGAAUGCGCAGAUAUCAGGAGGAACACCGAUGGCGAAGGCAGGUCUCUGGGCCGCAACUGACGCUGGAGGAGCGAAAGCAUGGGGAGCGAACAGG